rnacentral:lncRNA from 1 species
CUGUCUUCAAUCUCUAGGUUCCAGCUGCAAAGGCAUGGCUUCUCAGCCUCCUCUGGCCUUCAUAGCAGAGGUGAGACACCAGGAUACGAGGCACCUGCGCAGUGCUGUCCUGAAGAGCAGCAUCACCGAGCCCUGCAUGAUUCCUAAACAGAUAUUGAACUUGGAAAACAAAAACAUCAUUUAUCUGAACUGGAUGAUAAAGAGUCUGAGGCUCUGGACUAAAGUGGGACCAGCCUGUGAAUUCCACCACCUCAGGGUCAGAGCAGAAGUCUGCCCAAAGAUAAAAGGACAAAGCCACCUGUGUUUGUCAGCAA